ensembl:misc_RNA Metazoa_SRP Metazoan signal recognition particle RNA
UCCGGGUGUGGUGGUGCACCUGUAAUCCUAGCUACUCAGGAGGCUGAGGCAGGAGGAUCGCUUAAGUCCAGGAGUAUGCUGAUCUGGUGUCCACACUAAGUUCAGCAUCAAUAUGGUGGGGGGAAGUAGGGGACCACCACGUGGCCUAAAUAGGAGUGAACUGGCCCGGGUUAGAAAUGGAGCAGAUAAAACUCCCAUGCUGCUCAGUAGUAGGAACACACCCAUCAAUAGCCGCUGCAGUCCCACCUGGUCUUAU